rnacentral:tRNA from 2 species
GGACUCGUGGUCUAGCUGGUUAUGACGCCGCCUUCACACGGCGGAGAUCUCGUGUUCGAAUCACGACGAGUCCA